rnacentral:rRNA from 1 species
GACGAACGCUGGCGGCGUGCUUAACACAUGCAAGUCGAGCGGAAAGGCCACUUCGGUGGUACUCGAGCGGCGAACGGGUGAGUAACACGUGAGUAAUCUGCCCCUCACUUUGGGAUAGCCACCGGAAACGGUGAUUAAUACCGGAUAUGACCAUAUAUCGCAUGGCGUGUGGUGGAAAGUUUUUCGGUGAGGGAUGUGCUCGCGGCCUAUCAGCUUGAUGGUGAGGUAAUGGCUCACCAUGGCUUCGACGGGUAGCCGGCCUGAGAGGGUGACCGGUCACACUGGGACUGAGACACGGCCCAGACUCCUACGGGAGGCAGCAGUGGGGAAUAUUGGACAAUGGGCGGAAGCCUGAUCCAGCAACGCCGCGUGAGGGAUGACGGCCUUCGGGUUGUAAACCUCUUUCAGUACCGACGAAGCGCAAGUGACGGUAGGUACAGAAGAAGCACCGGCCAACUACGUG